rnacentral:rRNA from 1 species
UACGUAGGGUGCAAGCGUUGUCCGGAAUUAUUGGGCGUAAAGCGCGUGUAGGCGGCCAGGUAAGUCCGUUCUGAAAGCCCGGGGCUCAACCCCGGGAGGCGGAUGGAUACUGCUUGGCUCGAGUCCGGAAGAGGUGAGUGGAAUUCCCGGUGUAGCGGUGAAAUGCGCAGAUAUCGGGAGGAACACCAAUGGCGAAGGCAGCUCACUGGGACGGUACUGACGCUGAGACGCGAAAGCGUGGGGAGCAAACAGG